ACAAAAUGAAGACCUGAUUAUACAGCGUACAUGUUUACCUAGGCUGGAUGCAAGCUACUGUACUUUACAUACCCUGAAAGAUGGAUUCUCUUUUCAGUGAACUGCCCAGAGCCCUGGAUGGGGGUAGGUGAUCCUCCUCGUCUCCCCGACACUACAUUACCUCCUCCACAGUCAUCGGCAUGCAUAUCCGGUAUUCCUUCAGCAUUUUGUGGCAGUUGUGCGAGGUGAGAUGGGAGAUAGCAGAGCAGAAGAGAAGUCGUCAUCAAGGAAAAGACUAACUAUAAACCAUCUGAGACAGUCAGCUGGUGGGUGCCUUCUGACUCCGGCCAGGACAGGAGGUACCCCCCUGCUACUGUCCUGCACCCUGCUGCUGUCGUGGAC
rnacentral:lncRNA from 1 species